CACUGAUGCAGUCUGAUAUUCCUUCACCAAUCAAUGCCAUACCAAUAUUGGCUAGUGUGCCACAAGAGACAGCCGUAAGAAUGAUUCCUCCAACAAGCUGUACGACUCCCAGAAGGAAGAUGAGCAGACCUUCCCAACAGAAUCUAGGUCUCUCUUUUACAGUAUAGAUGUUGACCAGGCCCAGUUUGUAAAACUCAUACAGUUCUUGGUGAACUUCAGAUUGUGCAUCUG